UACGGAGGGGGCUAGCGUUGUUCGGAAUUACUGGGCGUAAAGCGCACGUAGGCGGACCGGAAAGUCAGAGGUGAAAUCCCAGGGCUCAACCCUGGAACUGCCUUUGAAACUCCCGGUCUUGAGGUCGAGAGAGGCGAGUGGAAUUCCGAGUGUAGAGGUGAAAUUCGUAGAUAUUCGGAGGAACACCAGUGGCGAAGGCGGCUCACUGGCUCGAUACUGACGCUGAGGUGCGAAAGCGUGGGGAGCGAACGGG
rnacentral:rRNA from 1 species